rnacentral:rRNA from 1 species
CCCUUAGAUGUUCUGGGAUGCACGCGCGUUACACUGAUUCGUUCAACGAGUUUAUGACCUUGCCUGAUGAGGUGGGGGAAUCUUUUCAAAUCGCAUCGUGAUGGGGAUAGAGUAUUGUAACUGUUAGUCUUCAACGAGGAAUUCCUAGUAAGUACGUGUCAUCAGCUCGUACUGAUUAUGUCCCUGCCCUUUGUACACACCGCCCGUCGCUCCUACCGAUUGAGUGCUCAGGUGAAUAGUAUGGACUGCAUCAGUGUUCGGUCUCCGAAUGUUGACGCGAGAAAUUCUGUGAAUCUUAUUGCUUAGAGGAAGGAGANGUCGUNACA